GACGAACGCUGGCGGCGUGCUUAACACAUGCAAGUCGAACGGAAAGGCCCUGCUUUUGUGGGGUGCUCGAGUGGCGAACGGGUGAGUAACACGUGAGUAACCUGCCCUUGACUUUGGGAUAACUUCAGGAAACUGGGGCUAAUACCGGAUAGGAGCUCCUGCUGCAUGGUGGGGGUUGGAAAGUUUCGGCGGUUGGGGCUGGACUCGCGGCUUAUCAGCUUGUUGGUGGGGUAGUGGCUUACCAAGGCUUUGACGGGUAGCCGGCCUGAGAGGGUGACCGGCCACAUUGGGACUGAGAUACGGCCCAGACGCCUAUGGGAGGCAGCAGUGGGGAAUAUUGCACAAUGGGCGGAAGCCUGUUGCAGCAACGCCGCGUGCGGGAUGACGGCCUUCGGGUUGUAAACCGCUUUCGCCUGUGACGAAGCGUGAGUGACGGUAAUGGGUAAAGAAGCACCGGCUAACUACGUG
rnacentral:rRNA from 1 species